rnacentral:snoRNA from 1 species
AAGCCAGCCAAGAACCCACUUACUGGAAUGUGUUUUUGCAGAAACUUAACAAGCUGGCGAUUGUAAAGCUGAGUUAUGAGCCUUAAGGACACGGAAGUCGUUAAGGUCCCCGAAAAUGGCUAUAACA